rnacentral:rRNA from 1 species
AUGUCCCGGCGGCGGCCGAGGGGCGGGACGCAGCGGAUGGACGCCGCGAUCGACCACUUCGCCAUCAUGGGCUACCGCAAGGCCGACGUCCGCAGCGUCGUCAACCGGCUGCUCAGGGAUGUGUAUGGGAGGGAUGGGUGGCCGUUCCUGGAGGACAGCUGCUACUCCGUCGUGCAGGACGCGCUCUUCGAGAUGCAGGAGGAGCAGGACAGGCUGCAGCUGCAGGCCGUGCAGCAGCCGCAUGAGGAGGAUGGGGAUGACGGUGGUGGUGAUGAUGAUGAUGAUGAUGAAGCUCAGCAACUGGAAGCAGCAAUGAUGGAGCCACCGUCAGAAAAUGCCAUGCCCGUUGUGAUGGUUGACAGUGAGGCACAACCUUCCGAGACUGUGUUAGCCGUUGAGCAAACAGGGGAAGUGAUCCCCAUGAUCAUGGACCCACCUGCUCGCACAGCUGGGCCGCCACAUCCGGCAUCUACAGGAACUGGUCGCACAAGGCGUCCCUGCUAUGGAUGGAUCUCUGAGUCUGAGAGUGACUCGGAGUACGAAGAAUAUCUUGCACGUCGACAGAAGCAGGUGCAUGUCCCGGCCAAGUAG